rnacentral:RNase_P_RNA from 3 species
CGAGUCGGCCGGGUGAUCGCUGCGGGAAACCGUUGAGGAAAGUCCGGACUCCACAGGGCAGGGUGGUGGGUAACGCCCACCCGGGGUGACCCGCGGGACAGUGCCACAGAAAGCAAACCGCCCCCUCGGGGGUAAGGGUGAAAGGGUGGGGUAAGAGCCCACCGCGUCGGUGGUGACAUCGACGGCACGGCAAACCCCACCCGGAGCAAGACCAAGAAGGGCUUCGGCCCGCGGAUGCCGUUCGAGCGCUGCCCGCGCGAGGCGUCCGGGUAGGUUGCACGGCGUCGGCGCAAGCCGGCGUCGGAGGCCCCCGGCGACGGGGGUCACAGAUGGAUGAUCACCCGCCUUCGGGCGACAGAAUCCGGCUUACAGGCCGGCUCGUCCC